GUCAGAUGGCUGCUGCAAGGACCAGGAACAGUCAGUGCUCAGAGGAGCUGCUUGUGAGAAACACUGAGGAGGUGUCAGGAAGCCCCCUCAGACCCUGAUGAAACUGAACAUCAAUUUAGCUGCUCUGUGAAAGCAGAAGAAGGUUAUGAGCUCCCUCAGGCUCUCCUCCUGCCAGAUGCUUGAGUCUCAUCACCAUCUCUGGGGCUGCUCCAGGACCUGCUCCGGUGUGCCCAUGAGCCUUUGUACUGAGGAGCCCAAAACUGGACACAGCAUCCCCAAAGGGUCUGACCAGUGAUGAAUAGAGGGUUCAGAAGGUUUGAACAAAGCUUCUAAACCAGCACCCACAAUAAUACUUCAAGUGAGAUGUUAAAACAAAGAAGAAAGCAGAAAAAUAUUAAUAAAUGUUACAUUCUCUUUGGAUAACAAGAGAGGCCACAAAGAGAACACAUACUCCAAGUCACUAGGUUUUCACAUUCCUGAGACGAUCCUUCUUCUGGAAAUCCUUGAUGCUGUGAUACUUUAUUAACAAACCUCAAACACUUGUUCGUGUGUUAAACAGCUCGUCACAUCUGGGUGGCGUCUCUCACGGCCCACAUUGCGCUCUCCAGGGAGCAGCAGGAGGAGGAGGAGGAAGGACAGCGCGCCCGCCCCUGCUGGAAGUUUGAGUGGCAGAAGCGACUCGCCGGGAUCGUUCUGGCAGCGGCAGGAGCCGGAGCUGGACCAUCCAAAGAACCUCCGCUCCCGCACAGCUGCGCCUUUCCUCCGGAGGGGGUCCGCGAACGCGGAGCGCCCGCCUGGGGGCCCGCUGUUCGCACUGGAUUUCUGUGAUUCUUAAAAAAAAAAAAAAUCUCCCCCCCGUCCCUCCAAAACCACCCCUUCCAAAAGAAAAAGAAAAUUGCUUCAGGAAGGGCAGACUUCAGUUAUUGAACAGCUACAGAACUCAGCCCUAGUGAGGCCACGUCUGGAGGGCUGUGUGUGGUUCUGGGCUCCUCAGGACAAGAGAGAUAAGGAGCUGCAGGAGGGGGUCCAGGGAAGGGACACGAAGAUGACGAGGGGUCUGGAGCAUCUCUCUUAUGGGGAGACUGUGGGAGCCGGGAUCUCUUCAGUCUGGAGAAGACCGAAGGGGAUCUCAUUACUGCACAUAAAUAUCACAAAGGUGGGUGCCCAGAGGAUGGUGCCAGACUCUUUUCAGAAGUGCCCAGCGACACGAACAGGACUAAUGGCUAUAAGCUAAAACACUAUCAGUUCCACCUCAGCAUGAGGAGGAACUUUAUAUUGAGGGUGACAGAGCACAGAAACAGGCUGCCCAGGGCGGACUCUCCCUCUCUGGAGACAUUCCAGACCCACCUGGACGUGCCACCUGCUCCAGGUGACCCUGCCUUGGCGGGGGGAAUGGAUCCCAUGAUCUCCAGAGGCCCCUUCCCUACCAAUUCUGUGAACACUGCAAUAGUCUGGGACAAGUUAUUGCCCACAGCCUCCAGGCCGUCCGGGCCUCCACGCGUCCGACACCCAGGUGGAGCGGCGUCCCCGGGCAUGAGGGGAAUGAGGGCCAGGGCGCGG